GUUUAUAAGUUUCCUGAAGGUACUGUUAUGAGAAGAAAAUGGGAAAAAUCUUUGAGGAUAGUAAAGUUCAAAUGUACUGAUCAUUCUAGGUUUUGUGGUGAACAUUUCAAAGAUUCUGAUUUUGAGAUUACUUCAAAGACAACUGGGUUUUCACUCCAAAGAAAAUAUUUUGAAAAAUCAGCUGUACCUUCCAUAUUUCGCUGUACUUUGAAUUCUAUCAGUCCACGGAUGUUGAGAUUAGAAAAAAGGAAUGCUAAACGUGAUUUGGAGCCAGCUAGUAGUGAAUCAUCUGAAAUUUUCGAAGAUAAAGAUACCAGCUUCCUCUCAAUGAUAUAAAUUAUCUAGACCUCCAACAAGAAAUUGCCUCAGAAGUUACUUUCCACCCCGAGGAAGAUAAUCCUGAUAAGGAAAGCCACCUAAUCAGCCAGUCCACACAAACACCAACUUUAUUCAGAUUAUUUUCCAAUGAUGAA